rnacentral:misc_RNA from 1 species
UUUCCGUAGGUGAACCUGCGGAAGGAUCAUUAUUGUAUAACCGAGGUGCGAGGGCUGUCGCUGACCCGAAAGGUCGUGCACGCCCGAGUGCCCUCACACACUGCCAUCUCACCCCUAUGUGCACCACCGCGUGGGUCCCCCUUUGGCUUGUUCGGAGGGGGGCUUACGUUUUCACAAAAACUUUGUAUGCAGUGUAGAAUGUAUUUUUUGUUUUUGCGAUCACGCAAUCAAUACAACUUUCAACAACGGAUCUCUUGGCUCUC